UGCGCCUACUCCAGCGGCGUCACCGCCGCCAUCCUCCUCUCUGACCUCUUCCAGGUCUGCCAGAUUUGCCGCCGCCAACUAACUCCCCAUCUCUGUAUGUUACUCGCUCUACCGGUUAGGUGUCUCCGUUGAGUCGCUCCAGUUCAGUUCAGUAAUCAGCGCUAGCACAUGGCUCUUUCUCGAAUAUGAUCUGUAUUUCGUGCACGUUGUUUCCUAGGAUUUUGUUGUUCAAUUAGCUCGAGUUUGAAAGCAAGCGCACCAGUUCAUGGAAGGAUUUGAACAAUGUAUUGGCAAUUAACACAUGGAUCUUUCUCAAAUAUGAUCUGUAUUUUGCGCACGCUAUUUCCUACUAGGAUUUUGCUGUUCAAUUAGCUCGAAUUUGACAGCAAGCGCACUAGUUCAUGGAAGGAUUUGAACAAUGUGUUGGUAAUUAACACUCAGCUACGCAUGGCAUACAGGAAAUUAAAAUUGUGUGUACUAAAAGUGGAUCUAAUUGGUCGUAUACUCAUCAUCUGUAUGCUAGGAACGGUGCCAUAUCCACCUUAUAAUAUUUUCGAGUUAGGAUGUACUGUAUAAUAGUUACUUGGUGUUGAUGUGGUGGUUGGUUGAGUAGCGGCUACUAUUUUAUGAUACCUUGAGUUGCUCACUUCUGUAGCUUCCCCGUUCUGGUUUCUAGUUAUUAGUGAUUGUUAGGAGUUCGGGCUGGGACUAGAAGGUGCUGUUCAAGGUUUCUAGUCCAUCUCCGUCUCAAGGUUUCUAGUGUUAAUUUUCAAUGUCAAUUGCUUAGUUGCAGGCAUUCUCUCCUGCAGCAUCUUGCACUCAUCCACCCAUGAGCCCUCCAAUCUCUUCUCUAUGAUCCCCUUCCAUUAUAAGAAGCCAGAAUCAUUUUGGGUUUGUGGUGGAAAUGUAGAUUUACAUUCAUGAUAAGAUAAUUAGCACAAACGGCUUUCUCAUCGAUAUCACAGUAGAGAUUCAGAGUGUGAUCUUGAGAGCACGCUGCAUACUUGUUGGGAUUAUAUUUCCCAGUAGCUUGCUGAUCCUACAUAACUUCAUUCUGUAUAUGGAUCUGCGACCUUCAGGAUGCAUUUACUUAUUGCAAGCGAAGCAUCCUAUAUUAUUCUCAUUGCACUGUACAUAGUCUUCUCGCACGAAAUCUAUUUCGUUUCAUGCAAGAAGUCAAGAACUAUCAUCCAACUUGAACUUUUGGGGAUCACUGUUCACCCCUUACAAUUGCUUUGCAGGAUAACCUUCACCCCGACUGUGCAGCACUGCAGUAUUUUUUUUUAGAACGAAGGCUCGCGAAGAGCCCGGCUUUGAAUUAACAAAGCCAUCAACCGGCCGGGAUUACAAACUCUGGAGUACAACCUGGACACAACACCAUAAAAAGAAAACACGGCAAGAUACAAUGGUGCCGGGAGCAGCUCACAUGCCAGACAUACAACAAACUGAAAAAAGGAUCUACAUGAAGCACCAAGCUUGAAGAUGACAAGGCCUCUUGCACGCGCGGAGCCUAGGAGAAGGGGGAUGCCGGCGAAGGAGAUGAAGAUCAGAUGACCGAGAAGAGGCAGCCAUUGCCACAACAUCUGGGACCAGCCAGGAAACACCACCAUCCAGAUCCAUUGUCAAAGAAGGCCCCUGCCUCCUCGCCUGGCUCGAAAGGCGCCGAACCGUCGACAAUGAACACGUUCACCCUAGAACCUGGAUGAGUGGCACCGAUGGCAUCCACAUUGUUGGGACAAGGCAGACGCGACCUAUCGUCGACUUCUCACCUAGAGCAUAGCAACACCGAAAACUAAAGACUCGGGCAUUCAAGAGGAGAGCUGCCAGGAUGAACUAAGGAGCAGCAGCCAAGGCCAUGGCCUGAACCAGGUGGAGCACUACCACCGCUGGAGUUAACUGCUGCCGCCGACACCCACCGCACACCUCACAGCGAAGUCCAAAUUCCCACCUUGCUCCCAAAGCAGCGCCUUCAAGAAGGAUACGGCGCCAAGGGCGUCGCCGCCGCCCAACAUCGUUGGGGUUUUCACCCGGGAGGACAAGGGGGAGGGGGUGGGGAAGGUAUACCUGACCAACGCCUCCAAGAAGGUGCGCGGCGCCCACGGGCGUCGCCGCCGUCACAGCCAGCAGGACGGCUAGGGAUUUCUCCUGGCAAUUUUCCCGUCCCCACUCCCACCCGGCGAAGAACCGGCAUCCAAGACGGAGCCGGCCAGAUCUGGGGGGAGGACUUGCGAAUCCGCCGUAGAGGGUGGUAGGCGGCCAGAUCUGAAGCCGCGCAGCCGAAGCCGCCGCCGCCACGCCCUGGCUCGCAUCCACCAGCUACCUCGCCGUCCACACGGCUGAGGGGCACCGGCCCGCACCUGCGCCACCAUGCGUCGAGGAUCCGGUGGCGCCAUUCCCGCCGGGGCCGCCGCCCCGGGACCCGAGGCCCCCCGCGAGAGAUGCAGAGCAGCAGGAGAGGCCCCGCCGCCACCAUCAUCAGCAGCGCCCCGGGCGAAGCCGGCGACUGCCUCAGGCGGCGGCGAGGAGAGGGUUGGAGGGGGAGGAGACGGCGGCGGCGGGCUAGGUUAUCGGCCCUCGAGUCGCCCAAGAGGGCGACGGGAGGGAGAGAGGGGGGGAGAGAGGGGAGGCUUAAGUGCCUCAGGCUUAAGUUGAUGCAAAACCCGCGAGACUACACCACUGGUCGUCGACCUGCCCCACAGCAGGCAGACCCUCGACAUCAUUGUCAUCAUGGCCGGGACACCAGGUGAGACGCGCCAUUGCCAGAUUCCUUGUUCCUACUGGUCGAUACUCUUUGCUGCAUUGACAUGACCAGCUUGUGCUGGAAGACAGUGUAAUGAAACUGUCUGAAGAACAAUUUACUGAAAUUGAACUGCUGCUAAUCUUCAGUUAGAAAUUGGGAGCUGUCUGGACUCUUGUAGUAUUAUACAUAAGUAGAAGGAGUUGAAUGGAAACAAUUGGUAUUUGUAUUAUGCCUACAGUAAAGAUGCUAGAAGGCAAUCUGAACCAGUUUGCGAGAAAUUAUUUCAUAGUACUAUCCUUGAUACAAAUAAUUCAAUUUUCAGAUACAUAUUUACACUACAGAACUCUUGCUAGUUCGCUUGGAAAUGAUAGUAGGAUUAUGCUGAAUAAACUAAAUGUAUGUAUGAUGGCUGCAGGCUGGAUACAGGCAUGUGGACACAGCCACGGCCACAACUCUCCGGCAACCAAGACAGCGACAGCGUCGAUGGGAUCCUCGGACGACCUACGUCCUUCCCCGACCAUGCCCGCGACCUGCAUCCAGCUGCUCCUGCCCGGGCCCUCCUCAACUUCGCUCAUGGUGAGCUGCUGUAGGUGAGACAAUUGACUCGAUCUGUUGCUAUUGGUAGAACUGCUGAUGUAGUUUGGGUGUAGCCGCAACUGCUGUAGAUUGGGUGUAUAGGAGGCUGACCUACUGCUCUUCUUAGUACCAUGGCUGUUGUAGGUUGGUUUUAUCUGCAAUACAUACUAUCUUGGUUUAGUUUAGGGCCAAAUAGAGAUGUUUUUGUUGGACUAUGUUAUGUGAUUGAUAGGCCGCUGUCCCAUUACAUACUAUCAUGUAAACCUCCUAUUUUCCUGAAAUGCUAUUAUUGAUAAGUCACUGUCCCAUGACAUACUACUCUAUUUGAGCAGGAAUGGGUGGUGCCAGCGGUGCUGGAUGCGGCAUGAGUGGUUUAGGUGAGUUCUUUGGUCCCUCCCCUUUCUUGCCUACAUUGUCUUUGAUACCACGAUCGUCGAGGCAUAGCUAGCUUUUGUUACACUGUUAUUUAAACGCGUUGAAACUAUUAUAACAUCCAAGUAGUUCUCUUGAAUUUUCAGUCUUGUUGGACAGAUAAAGUAAAACAUUAAAGGGACUAGUGUCAUUAUAACUUAGUUCCUGUAUUCGCAGCCAUGCCAUGGUUUCAACCUUUUGUUUGCUAGCAGAAAAUAUGUGGCUUAUUUUUUAUCUUAUCUUCUAUUAAGCUGCCUUGUCUGUAUUGAACUCUGUAAUUCCAGCAGCCACCACCACAUCUGGUGAGAGAGACACUCUCUCUGCUGUAUUUUCUGUUCAUUGUUUGUAGUGAAUGACUUUCUAUGUCUUGGUAGGUAACUGGUAUCAUGUCCAUGUUGUUCUUGGCUAGAUGGUAAUGGUUAUCAGAAUAUGUACACAUGAGUUUAUCAUGUAACAAGUGACAGGGUCACCAGCAUAUAGACACAGUAAAUCCAUUGUUCUGUUUUAUCAUUAUGCUUCAUAUGUUAACGUGCUGCAGUCAAGUUUUGGAAGUUUUGCUUAGUGCUUGCUGAACUGAGGCAUUUGGGCAUUUAUGUAUAAUUUUUAUUCUUUUGAAUGGAUAUAUUUUAUUGGCAAUGAUUUAACUCCCACUGUAUCUCACUAAUAAUUUAUGUAGAUCAAGAUCUAAUGUCGUCAAGGUUGCUGUUGCUCUAACAGAAGAUCAAAAGAAGCCUGGAGAUGUGCACCAUCGUUUUAGUUGAUGGUGCCUGUGUAUUUGUUUUUUAUUGUAUAUGUACAGUUGUUGGAUCGUGCACACAUGUAUGUGCUGUUGUGAGUUUGUGGAUUUGAUCAUUUAAUUGAGAGAAUUAUUGAUUGUUUGCACUUGAAAUGUGUAAAAUGAAAUAUGUGAAUGAAAAAGAUGAAUGUUCUACUGGAUCGAAUAGUAUUUGGGCUCUAAAAAGGCUAUGGCCCAAACAAUAGUGGACUGGAAUAUUCUGCAUUUAUGAAAAACCUGUAAAAAAGGCUUAAUGAAAUGGACUGCAAAAUGGAAUGAAAUAAGUAGGCUGAAUUGUUGGGCCAGGCCCAUGUAGCUAGCAAAAAUUAAUAGGAAAAA
rnacentral:lncRNA from 1 species